rnacentral:tRNA from 1 species
GGCCCUGGGGUGUUACACGCGGAAUUGCAAGCUCCGAGAAGCAGAAGAAAGUUUCUGCCGGGGCU